rnacentral:rRNA from 1 species
ACGAACGCUGGCGGCGUGCUUAACACAUGCAAGUCGAACGGAAAGGCCCUGCUUUUGUGGGGUGCUCGAGUGGCGAACGGGUGAGUAACACGUGAGUAACCUGCCCUUGACUUUGGGAUAACUUCAGGAAACUGGGGCUAAUACCGGAUAGGAGCUCCUGCUGCAUGGUGGGGGUUGGAAAGUUUCGGCGGUUGGGGAUGGACUCGCGGCUUAUCAGCUUGUUGGUGGGGUAGUGGCUUACCAAGGCUUUGACGGGUAGCCGGCCUGAGAGGGUGACCGGCCACAUUGGGACUGAGAUACGGCCCAGACUCCUACGGGAGGCAGCAGUAGGGAAUAUUGCACAAUGGGCGGAAGCCUGAUGCAGCAACGCCGCGUGCGGGAUGACGGCCUUCGGGUUGUAAACCGCUUUCGCCUGUGACGAAGCGUGAGUGACGGUAAUGGGUAAAGAAGCACCGGCUAACUACGU